GAUGAAGAACGCAGCGAAAUGCGAUAAGUAGUGUGAAUUGCAGAAUUCAGUGAAUCAUCGAAUCUUUGAACGCACAUUGCGCCCCUUGGUAUUCCAUGGGGCAUGCCUGUUCGAGCGUCAUUUGUACCCUCAAGCACUGCUUGGUGUUGGGUGUUUGUCCCGCUUUGCGCGUGGACUCGCCUUAAAGCAAUUGGCAGCCGGCAGAUUGGCCUGGAUCGCGAGCACAUUUUGCGACCUUGUCAUAACUGUUUGGCACCCAUCAAGACUAUUUUUUGCUCUUGACCUCGGGUCAGGUAGGGAUACCCGCUGAACUUAAGCAUAUCAAUAAGCGGAGGA
rnacentral:misc_RNA from 1 species